GCAACAGUGAAGAACAAGUAUCCUCUUCCCCGGAUAGACGAGCUCUUCGACCAGCUUCAGGGUGCCCAGUACUUUUCGAAGGUGGACCUGAGAUCGGGNUAUCANCAGCUGCGAGUCAAAGAGCAGGAUGUGCAAAAAACGGCGUUUCGCACUCGUUACGGGCAUUAUGAGUUCCUUGUGAUGCCGUUCGGGUUGACAAACGCCCCAGCAGUGUUCAUGGCUUUGAUGAACAAGAUCUUCGCCCCGUACCUCGACAGNUUCACAGGGGUCUUCAUCGACGAUGUUUUGGUCUACUCCAAGNCCANAGAGGAGCACGAGCAGCAUUUGAGGACGUNUUUNCAGUUGUUGCGCGACAACCAGUUGUACGCAAAGCUCAGCAAGUGCGAGUUCU
rnacentral:misc_RNA from 1 species